rnacentral:rRNA from 1 species
GGGGGGGGGGGGGGGGGGGGGGGGGGGGGGGGGGGCGGGGGGGGGGGGGGGGGGGGGGGGGGGGGGUCGAGGGGCGAACGGGGGGGGAACACGGGAGUCACCGGCCCCUGGCGGGGGGGUAACUGCAGGCAACGGGGGCUAAUACCGGAUAGGAGCUCCUGGUGCAUGGUGGUGGUUGGAAAGUUUCGGCGGUUGGGGAUGGACUCGCGGCUUAUCAGCUUGUUGGUGGGGUAGUGGCUUACCAAGGCUUUGACGGGUAGCCGGCCUGAGAGGGUGACCGGCCACAUUGGGACUGAGAUACGGCCCAGACUCCUACGGGAGGCAGCAGUGGGGAAUAUUGCACAAUGGGCGGAAGCCUGAUGCAGCAACGCCGCGUGCGGGAUGACGGCCUUCGGGUUGUAAACCGCUUUCGCCUGUGACGAAGCGUGAGUGACGGUAAUGGGUAAAGAAGCACCGGCUAACUACGUG